rnacentral:rRNA from 1 species
UUCCGCGCCAAUGAUAGUGUGAGGCUUCCUCAUGCGAAAGUAGGUCAUCGCCAGGGUUUUA